GUAGCAACUCAGUUAUUGACCCGAGAGCUCGCUGCCCGUUCUAGAUGUCUGGGGACCGUGGCUGCGCGCGCACCCCAACUACUUCAGUCUAGAAAUAUUCCAGCCUAGGCUGACGUCGCGCGAUGCCUGCGCCCUGCGACUCUUGUAAAGAUACGUGCCAAGGCGGCGCGGCCGCCUGCGGCGCCGGCUGCACUUGCGGCCCAAACUGCGUAUGCGGCGAUGGCAAGUCCUCGGGGGGCAAGCCUUGCUGCCAAGGCGGCAAGAAAUAAACAAUGAUUGAAGUUUCUUUAAUCUAAAUGAAAAAAAAAAUCUAUUUUAAAAAUUAGCCUAUCUACACUAUAUUUAUAUUAGAAUUUAAUAGGUAUAUUAUAAUCCUUAAUACGUAUAAUGUAGUCUCAAGGAUACGUUUUAAUUACAGAAACAAUGUUGUGUGGUCAUGAAAUAAAGUAAACUUAGUUUUAUAUCUAUUAUAUAAUAAGGUACAUAUUUGUAUUUACUAACUGUAGGUAAGUUAUGUGUUUGCUUAUAGCUAAAUAAUAAGUGUAGUAAAUAAUUUUAUCACAUUCAGUGUUUAAAAACUUUCCUAGCAAGGAGAGUGCUUAGUACUUGUAAUACUCAUUAUUGUUAAGUCUGUAUGUGAGCACGCACACACGCAUAAUAAUUUGUGUAGUGUCUAAUGGUUACAAAUUAAUGAAUAUAAUAAAAUAUUGAUAAAGCU
rnacentral:lncRNA from 1 species